UACGAAGGGGGCUAGCGUUGCUCGGAAUUACUGGCGUAAAGCGCACGUAGGCGGAUUGUUAAGUCGGGGGGUGAAAUCCUGGAGCUCAACUCCAGAACUGCCUUCGAUACUGGCGAUCUCGAGUUCGGGAGAGGUGAGUGGAACUGCGAGUGUAGAGGUGAAAUUCGUAGAUAUUCGCAAGAACACCAGUGGCGAAGGCGGCUCACUGGCCGAUACUG
rnacentral:rRNA from 1 species